rnacentral:rRNA from 1 species
UUCGGGCGUAAAGGGCUCGCAGGCGGUUUCUUAAGUCUGAUGUGAAAGCCCCCGGCUCACCCGGGGAGGGUCAUUGGAAACUGGGAAACUUGAGUGCAGAAGAGGAGAGUGGAAUUUCACGUGUAGCGGUGAAAUGCGUAGAGAUGUGGAGGAACACCAGUGGCGAAGGCGACUCUCUGGUCUGUAACUGACGCUGAGGAGCGAAAGCGUGGGGAGCGAACAGGAUUAGAUACCCUGGUAGUCCACGCCGUAAACGAUGAGUGAUAAGUGUUAGGGGGUUUCCGCCCCUUAGUGCUGCAGCUAACGCAUUAAGCACUCCGCCUGGGGAGUACGGUCGCAAGACUGAAACUCAAAGGAAUUGACGGGGGCCCGCACAAGCGGUGGAGCAUGUGGUUUAAUUCGAAGCAACGCGAAGAACCUUACCAGGUCUUGACAUCCUCUGACAACCCCAGAGAUAGGGCUUUCCUUUAGGGGACAGAGUGACAGGUGGUGCA